AUAAUUUGGGAGUGAGAACACCUGAGAUUGGUCCUUCGGAAGCAGGGAGAGGCAGCAAGGCAAAAGAGAAAGCGUGUGGAAGCCAUAGGAAGAGGACAGUGGCCUCAGCCCCUGCUGUGGAGUGGAACUGACCUUAAAAUCUCAGGGCACUGGUCUACCAGGAAGCUGGCUUCAGUGUGUUAAAAUAUUGAAGAAACCGAGGUUUGGCAAUAUUAAUUUGCCCAAGACCAAGAAGUUAGGAUGGAGUUAUUCACACAGAGCAAUCAUCAUCCACACUGCAAUCAUCUGUGACUGCCACGCUCUUAACAAUGCAUGCACGAGAAUGUGUGUGCUCUGUAUAAUUCCCAGCCCCUGCAGCAGUAACUCCACCCCUUUCUCUUCUAGUCAAGAAAGCCUAAGAGAAAGCAGCAAGUCACGGAGCAUCUUGUCAUUCCUCAUUAGCUGGACUGGAAUCAGAUGAUUGAUAUUUUCCUGGCUGCCAGCUCCUGCUUCAUCCUCAAUGGCCAGACUCAUGCCCUUACUGAGAAAAUCUACUAGAAGGAAAGAUCUCCAUGCACAGGCAAAGCACAUGUGGUAUUAGCAAGUUUGGCACCUUUAUGGAAGAGGCUUACCAGUAUGAGGUUGCACAGAAUAAACAGCCACCUCUUAAGAGAGCUGCAGGGGGCGCCUAUUUAUACUUACAGCAAAUUCAUCAAACAUUCAGAGAAGUGAUGAAGGAUAGAGUACAAGAGAUUUUGGCAAUGAGAUUUUGGCAGUGGUCUGUUGACAAAUGUUUAACAAUCAGUUCUCGGGAGAGGGGGGCAGGUAGAGGAGGAGUUCUGGUUUGCAGUGAUUGCCAGUUUCUGUGGAGUAAAUACUCUCCCAACCCCCACCCCUACCUAUUUCAAGCUGCCUGACCUCCAGGGCCAAGAUUAGGGUGGGUCAAGUGAGGCACUCGCCUCAGGUUCAAAAUUUAACGCAGCACCAAAGAAACUCAGUAGUCAUGAUAAAUAAGAUUUUAAUAUGAUAUAAAAAGGUGUAAAUUCAUUUAACAGUGAAUACGAUGAUUCCAUAUUGUAAUAACAACACUAAAAGAGUUAAAAGAGGAUAACAGAGUGGAGAGUGCCUGGGGACGGGGGAGGGACUCCUUUAGUCUUGAGGAGGCUCCACAUUUCAUUAUAAAUUUCAAGUACUCUGCGAAAAUCCUGAAAGAAGCCUUGUCCCCUGCUGCAGGCAUCAUCAGUUUCAUCAGAAUCAGGGCUUUGAAUCAUGAUUUCAAUCACAAGAUUUUGUCGGGAAAUGGGAGCAGCCUUCCUAGAAACUCUGACCUUGCAGAGGCCUUCUGGAAGCACGUGAUGAAACCUCAGGCAGCUUGUUCUUUUGACAAGAGAAAAAGAAAGCCCAUUGUCAAAACAAUUUGCCAAGCUUGAACAUUUGUGAGCACGAAUGAGUCAUAAAUAAUUGUACAUUUUUUUAAUAUUAUUUCUGUGAAGGAAAUACAUUUUCAAUGCAAUAAAAAUCCAUUACAGGCAC
rnacentral:lncRNA from 1 species